rnacentral:rRNA from 1 species
UACGUAGGUGGCAAGCGUUGUCCGGAUUUAUUGGGCUUAAAGGGUGCGUAGGUGGCCCUGUAAGUCAGUGGUGAAAUAUCUCAGCUUAACUGAGAGGGUGCCAUUGAUACUGCAGGGCUUGAGUACAGAUGAGGUAGGCGGAAUUGACGGUGUAGCGGUGAAAUGCAUAGAUAUCGUCAAGAACACCGAUAGCGAAGGCAGCUUACCAAGCUGUAACUGACACUGAGGCACGAAAGUGUGGGGAGCAAACAGG